AAAGAAUUAGUAACCACUGUAGAAAGAAAGUUAUCGGAGACAACUCCAUCCCAAGAAAUUGUUGUGGUGAAGAGACUUAAUAGAUAAGAUAUUAUUAGAAGUUAUAUGUACAGUUAAGAAGUAAGCUAAUUAAACGUUAUUAUUCAAGUUAUUCAAGUAAGUUUUAGUUUUAUUCCUAAAAAUAAGCAAAAUAAGUAAAAUAAGUUACGGUGAAAUUUUAAACCGUAACACUGUUUUACCAGAAAUGACUACAACUGUUGAUUUUAAAUGGCACCCUCGGUAUAUUUUUACUUUAUUCGAUAGAAAAUGACUCUGAAUAGAAUCGCAUAUCACUU